rnacentral:lncRNA from 1 species
UGGAAAACAGAAUUAAAAGUAGGCAAAUUCUUAUGCAAGUGACAGUGUGGCCACACAUGCAGCAUUUGUUUGACAUAAAAUCUUUAGAUGAAGAAUUAUUCAGAAAUGAUUAAUUACCCAUGAAUGAUUUUCAUACAAAGGAUGCACAAGGAGAUUGUAUUCAUAUUGUAUUUUAAAACAAUGCGAGAGAAUGAAUCACACAAUUAUGAGGACUGCCGCAAUCCAUGUGAGGACGUUGGAUGCCAGUUGGAGGUUGAAGAUGAAUGAAAGAAUGAGGAUUCAGUGCCCUGACAAAAUCUGCAGUCACAGCUUUAAGAGGAGGCUUUUGAAGAACAAGUGUGGAGUGAAUGAACCGCCUGCUAACAUAUGUUGAGGAAUUUUAAGUUAUUAUGUAUAAAUAUAAAUAUAUAUAUAUAUAUACACACAUGUACAAGAUUGUAGGUCAGACUGUG